UGGGCACAAACUGGAAGACA
rnacentral:miRNA from 1 species